rnacentral:lncRNA from 10 species
CACAUCUGGGUGCAGUGGCUCACGCCUAUAAUCCCAGCACUUUGGGAGGCCAAGGCGGACGGAUCAUUGGAGGUCGGGAGUUCGAGACCAGCCUGACCAACAUGGAGAAACGCCAUCUCUACUAAAAACACAUGGCCAGAGCAGGAGCAAGAGUCGGGGUAGGGGUUCGGCUUCUGCUAUGUUCAGAGAAGCCCAAAACCCCAGGCCAGAGUGCAGUGGCGCUAUCUGGGCUCACUGCAAGCUCCACCUCCCAGGUUCACGCCAUUCUCCUGCCUCAGCCUCCCGAGUAGCUGGGACUACAGGCGCCCGCCACCGCGCCCGGCUAAUAUUUUGUAUUUUUAGUAGAGACGGGGUUUCACCGUGUUUGCCAGGAUGGUCUCGAUCUCCUGACCUCGUGAUCUGCCCGCCUCGGCCUCCCAAAGCGCUGGGAUUACAGGCGUGCGCCACCGCGCCCGGCCCCAGAGAACUCACUGUCUUGAGGACAGCAUUAAGGGGAUGGUGUUAGACCAUUACUGAGAAACCGCCCCCAUGACCUGGUCACCUCCCACCAGGCACCACCUCCAACAGUGGGGAUUACAAUCUGAUGUGGGAUUUGAUGGGGAAACAUAUCCAAACCAUAUCACUGAUUUAGAACUUGAAAUGAAAUAUUAAUGUUUGAGAUGUCAUUUUUUUUUUUACAAAAGUAAACUUUUAAUUUUAGAAUAGUUUUAGACUUAUAAAAAAUAUUACAAAGAUAGUACAGGGAGUUCCCUCAUACCUCACACUCAGUUUGCCUUCUUACCAUCUUACAUUAGUCUGAUACAUUGUCACAACUGAUGAAUCAGUAUGGAUACAUUAUUAUUAAUCUAGGUCCACUGUUUAGUGCAAUUUCCUUAGUUUUUCCUUAACAUCUUUUCCUGUUCCGAGAUCCUAUCCAGCAUAUCCCAUUACAUUUUGUCAUCCUUUCUCCUGUAGGCUCCAUUUGGACAUGACACGUUCUCAGACUUUCCUUGUUUUUGAUCACCCAGACAGUUUGAGUACUGCUCAGGUAUUUUGCAGACUGUCCCUCAGUAGGAAU